rnacentral:rRNA from 1 species
CCGCAUGGUUCAAAAGUGAAAGACGGUCUUGCUGUCACUUAUAGAUGGAUCCGCGCUGCAUUAGCUAGUUGGUAAGGUAACGGCUUACCAAGGCAACGAUGCAUAGCCGACCUGAGAGGGUGAUCGGCCACACUGGAACUGAGACACGGUCCAGACUCCUACGGGAGGCAGCAGUAGGGAAUCUUCCGCAAUGGGCGAAAGCCUGACGGAGCAACGCCGCGUGAGUGAUGAAGGUCUUCGGAUCGUAAAACUCUGUUAUUAGGGAAGAACAUAUGUGUAAGUAACUGUGCACAUCUUGACGGUACCUAAUCAGAAAGCCACGGCUAACUACGUGCCAGCAGCCGCGGUAAUACGUAGGUGGCAAGCGUUAUCCGGAAUUAUUGGGCGUAAAGCGCGCGUAGGCGGUUUUUUAAGUCUGAUGUGAAAGCCCACGGCUCAACCGUGGAGGGUCAUUGGAAACUGGAAAACUUGAGUGCAGAAGAGGAAAGUGGAAUUCCAUGUGUAGCGGUGAAAUGCGCAGAGAUAUGGAGGAACACCAGUGGCGAAGGCGACUUUCUGGUCUGUAACUGACGCUGAUGUGCGAAAGCGUGGGGAUCAAACAGGAUUAGAUACCCUGGUAGUCCACGCCGUAAACGAUGAGUGCUAAGUGUUAGGGGGUUUCCGCCCCUUAGUGCUGCAGCUAACGCAUUAAGCACUCCGCCUGGGGAGUACGACCGCAAGGUUGAAACUCAAAGGAAUUGACGGGGACCCGCACAAGCGGUGGAGCAUGUGGUUUAAUUCGAAGCAACGCGAAGAACCUUACCAAAUCUUGACAUCCUUUGACAACUCUAGAGAUAGAGCUUUCCCCUUCGGGGGACAAAGUGACAGGUGGUGCAUGGUUGUCGUCAGCUCGUGUCGUGAGAUGUUGGGUUAAGUCCCGCAACGAGCGCAACCCUUAAGCUUAGUUGCCAUCAUUAAGUUGGGCACUCUAAGUUGACUGCCGGUGACAAACCGGAGGAAGGUGGGGAUGACGUCAAAUCAUCAUGCCCCUUAUGAUUUGGGCUACACACGUGCUACAAUGGACAAUACAAAGGGCAGCGAAACCGCGAGGUCAAGCAAAUCCCAUAAAGUUGUUCUCAGUUCGGAUUGUAGUCUGCAACUCGACUACAUGAAGCUGGAAUCGCUAGUAAUCGUAGAUCAGCAUGCUACGGUGAAUACGUUCCCGGGUCUUGUACACACCGCCCGUCACACCACGAGAGUUUGUAACACCCGAAGCCGGUGGAGUAACCUUUUAGGAGCUAGCCGUCGAAGGUGGGACAAAUGAUUGGGGUGAAGUCGUAACAAGGUAGCCGUAUCGGAAGGUGCGGCUGGAUCACCUCCUUU